AAGAAAACUAUGGUCAGGGUGUGACACUCAAGUUUGAGAGAGCUUGACCUGGGAGGAAAUGAACUCCAGGAUUCAGGAGUGAGAUUCAUCUGUGCUGGACUUGAGAAUCCACAGUGUAAAUUGGAGACACUGAGGCUGGCAGGCUGCAGCAUCACAGAGGAAGGCUGUACUUCUCUGGCUUCAGCUCUGAGGUCAAACCCCUCCCACCUGAAGGAGCUGGACCUGAGUGGAAAUACUCCAGGAGCCUCUGGAGUAAAGCUGCUCUCUUCUGUACAAGAGGAUCCCCUCUAUACACUGGAGACACUGCGUGAAUACGACCCCUAUAUGUCCAUGCUGCUGUAUGAGGACUUAGAGCGACGACUUCGUUCCUUCCCAGGCUUCGUUAUUGAC